rnacentral:rRNA from 1 species
UUUCCAGACUCCUACGGGAGGCAGCAGUGGGGAAUAUUGGGCAAUGGGCGCAAGCCUGACCCAGCAACGCCGCGUGAAGGAAGAAGGCUUUCGGGUUGUAAACUUCUUUUCUGAGGGACGAAGAAAGUGACGGUACCUCAGGAAUAAGCCACGGCUAACUACGUGCCAGCAGCCGCGGUAAUACGUAGGUGGCAAGCGUUAUCCGGAUUUAUUGGGUGUAAAGGGCGUGUAGGCGGGAAUGCAAGUCAGAUGUGAAAACUAUGGGCUCAACCCAUAGCCUGCAUUUGAAACUGUAUUUCUUGAGUGCUGGAGAGGCAAUCGGAAUUCCUAGUGUAGCGGCGAAAUGCGUAGAUAUUAGGAGGAACACCAGUGGCGAAGGCGGUCUGCUGGACAGCAACUGACGCUGAGGCGCGAAAGCGUGGGGAGCAAACAGGAUUAGAUACCCGUGUAC